UAGCCCCAUCUUCCCCCUUUUAUUUCACGCAUCCAAGUGAAAUAACACACAUACACACACGCCGAGCUUCGUCCCUCCCCUCCUCAGUUCUGCUUCUGCUUGCACGGACACACGCACGCGCGCAUAGCUUGCACCGUCCUAAGCGGAAGAGAAAAUGUCUUUUGAGCUUCCCGAGCUGUACAUCAACCCCCAGUUCUCCUGGGGUCCUCCCGAGGAGGAGAUGAAGCUGGACGACGGCGCCCCCUUCGAGCUCUACUCCAAGGCGGACCCGCUGGAGGCGCUGGACUGGUUCACCUACAAGAAAGAGGCGGAUGUGAGCGACAGCGAUAGCGACGACGAAGCCGUGGCGGCCAACAAGCGCAAGGCGUUCAAGCAGGUGGAGGACAACGCCCGUCUCAACGCGUUGCGCACGGAGCGCGAGAAGACAGUCAUGUUCAACCCGCGCAACAACGGCCCGCGUAACGCGAAGUUGGCGGCCGGCAAGAAGGGCGGCAAGGACAGCCGCAACAACAACCAGCGCCGCAACCGCCGCAAGGUGACGGAGCUGCCAAACACUUACAACGCCUCUGCGAUGGCUGUGGUGCAGCACGUGAUGAAGCAGACGGAUAUGACGAAACUCCGCAUGAGCGCGCUACCCAAGGUGAUCGAGCUCGGCCUCUAUGGUACCCCACCGAUCUACAACACCGGCAUCGAGGCAGCCACGUGCGCACGCCCGCUGCCGCUCGACGAAUCCAAGUACGAGGAGGACUACUUUAUGCGUGGGCUCACCACGGAGGAUCCGGAGCUGCGCAAGAUCAUGGGCGAGGCGCAGCGCUACCCGCUCGUGGUUGUCACGGAUGAGAUUCUGUCACUGCUGAUGGUGUGCACCCGCUCCUCUUACCCGUGGCACAUUCGCGUGCUCAACUACAACAACAUCUGGAUCCUGGUCAAGGGCGAGGACAGCAACAUUGAAAAGCAGUGGGUGAGCGAGACGGCGGGGCAUGAGAUUCGCCCGUCCGAGGGCGCCGACAACCGUGCCGAGCGCAUCUCUUCCCUGGGCGAGGAGUCGACCAAGGUGUACGACUGCUUCGCGCGCGCCUCGUGCGCGAAGAGCUUUGCACAAAUCAAGACGAACCGCAGCCCCUUCUCCCGCAAGCAGCCGCGCAUGUACAGCUACCGCCGCUACAUCAUGCACGACGGCACGCCGGACCGCUACGACAUCGUCGUGCGCUGCGAAGUGGAUGCACUGAUGCCGCGCACGAACGACCGCGUCCGCUGCUUCGCGCUGCUGGAGCAGUGCGUCGUCAGCGAGAAGGACUCGUCGUGGCGCCGCGAGGGCCUGCUGAAGAACGCCGCCUCCUUCCUGCCCAUCGAGUACGCGCACAACGGCUGCAAGAUCGCUCGCUGGACGGCGCUGUCGCUACUGUCGGACGCAAAGCUGAUGAAAAUCGGUUUCGUGACCUGCGAGGAAAGAAUGGAGAAGGGCCAGCGCGUGUUCGACCACAAGCAGCACGAGGUGCUCUCCGUGCAGACCUACUCGCCCGCGUCGCUCGCCACACAGUUCGGUAUUGACGUGUCGAACAUGUGGGCCAUCGUGGACCACAUCAUGCGACCCUUCAUCGAGGGCCAUUCGAUCUGCCCGUCGAUCCUCAUGAAGCCUGGUGACAAGUCAGAGCUGAUCGUCGUCGAGGAGGAGGACGACGACGACGAAAGCGACGAGGACGACUCGGAGGAGGACGGCGACGACGGCGAUGACAAGGACGACGAGUAGAGUAACGUGGCUGGAUGCUGUCGGAUGAAGUCCUGCAACACGCAGCCACGUUCUAUUUUCCUUGUUCUGUGUUGGUCAAUGCCUUCCACCCGGCUGUAUUUGUUUGUUUGUUUGUUUUUUGGUGGGCGGGUUCACUGUUAAAUCAAAGUGUAAGUAAGUUCAUCUGGUGUGGUGCUAGGGCAGUUGCUGGGGCUUGCUGCAACGGUGACGUUCUGUUUUGUCUGUUGGUACAUGGCUGUCGUGAAUCCGUGUCUGUGCGUGUAUUUUGUGUCCCUCUGCGUUGAUGCACCAGUGCUCUUGUCGCGCUCUUCCGCCAUCGCAGAUUGCAGCGAGGCGCCAGGGCAAGAGAACAGAGAAGAAAGGAAAAAGAAAGCAAGUGGUGGGACUAAAAGGUAAGAUACGCACAACAACAUG
rnacentral:misc_RNA from 1 species